rnacentral:rRNA from 1 species
UGAGGAAUAUUGGUCAAUGGGCGCAAGCCUGAACCAGCCAUCCCGCGUGCAGGAAGACGGCGCUAUGCGUUGUAAACUGCUUUUCCAGGGGGAGAAACUUGCGCACGUAUUGCGCAAUUGACGGUACCCUGGGAAUAAGCAUCGGCUAACUCCGUGCCAGCAGCCGCGGUAAUACGGAGGCUGCGAGCGUUAUCCGGAUUCAUUGGGUUUAAAGGGUGCGUAGGCGGACUAUUAAGUCAGUGGUGAAAUCCUGCAGCUUAACUGCAGAACUGCCAUUGAUACUGAUAGCCUUGAGUUUGGUUAAGGUAGGCGGAAUGUGUAAUGUAGCGGUGAAAUGCUUAGAUAUUACACAGAACACCAAUUGCGUAGGCAGCUUACUGAGCCGACACUGACGCUGAGGCACGAAAGCGUGGGGAUCGAACAG